rnacentral:rRNA from 1 species
ACAGCAGUAGCCGCGGGAAUACAGAGGGUGCGAGCGUUAAUCGGAUUUACUGGGCGUAAAGCGUGCGUAGGCGGCUUCUUAAGUCGGAUGUGAAAUCCCUGAGCUUAACUUAGGAAUUGCAUUCGAUACUGGGAAGCUAGAGUAUGGGAGAGGAUGGUAGAAUUCCAGGUGUAGCGGUGAAAUGCGUAGAGAUCUGGAGGAAUACCGAUGGCGAAGGCAGCCAUCUGGCCUAAUACUGACGCUGAGGUUCGAAAGCAUGGGGAGCAAACAGGAUUAGAUACCCGUGUAGUCCCUGUCUCUUAUAC